AUGCGCGUGUGUCACCGUGGGAUGCGCGUGUGUCUGCGUGGGAUGCGCGUGUGUCACCGUGGGAUGCGCGUGUGUCACCGUGGGAUGCGCGUGUGUCACCGUGGGAUGCGCGUGUGUCUGCGUGGGAUGCGCGUGUGUCACCGUGGGAUGCGCGUGUGUCACCGUGGGAUGCGCGUGUGUCACCGUGGGAUGCGCGUGUGUCACCGUGGGAUGCGCGUGUGUCACCGUGGGAUGCGCGUGUGUCACCGUGGGAUGCGCGUGUGUCUGCGUGGGAUGCGCGUGUGUCACCGUGGGAUGCGCGUGUCACCGUGGGAUGCACGUGUGUCACCGUGGGAUGCGCGUGUGUCACCGUGGGAUGUCCGUGUGUCACCGUGGGAUGCGCGUGUGUCACCGUGGGAUGCGCGUGUGUCACCGUGGGAUGCGCGUGUGUCUGCGUGGGAUGCGCGUGUGUCACCGUGGGAUGCGCGUGUGUCACCGUGGGAUGCGCGUGUGUCACCGUGGGAUGCGCGUGUGUCACCGUGGGAUGUGCGUGUGUCUGUGUGGGAUGUGCGUGUGUCUGUGUGGGAUGCGCGUGUGUCUGUGUGGGAUGCGCGUGUGUCACCGUGGGAUGCGCGUGUGUCACCGUGGGAUGCGCGUGUGUCACCGUGGGAUGCGCAUGUGUCUGCGUGGGAUGCGCGUGUGUCACCGUGGGAUUCGCGUGUCACCUUGGGAUGCGCGUGUGUCACCGUGGGAUGCGCGUGUGUCUGCGUGGGAUGCGCGUGCGUCACCGUGGGAUGCGCGUGUGUCUGUGUGGGAUGCGCGUGUGUCUGUGUGGGAUGCGCGUGUGUCACCGUGGGAUGUCCGUGUGUCACCGUGGGAUGCGCGUGUGUCACCGUGGGAUGCGCGUGUGUCACCGUGGGAUGCGCGUGUGUCUGCGUGGGAUGCGCGUGUGUCACCGUGGGAUGCGCGUGUGUCUGUGUGGGAUGCGCGUGUGUCUGUGUGGGAUGCGCGUGUGUCUGUGUGGGAUGCGCGUGCGUCACCGUGGGAUGCUCGUGUGUCACCGUGGGAUGCGCGUGUGUCACCGUGGGAUGCGCGUGUGUCACCGUGGGAUGCGCGUGUGUCACUGGGAUGCGGGUGUGUCAUUGUGGGGUUUGCAUGCGACCCCCACGGAUGUGCUGCUGUCACCAGCCUGUGCCUGAGGUCCCCGUGUUAGCGCGUGACCGUCACGCGUGUGCGGCCCUCCUGUUCCGCGUGCGUCAGCAUUGCUGUUUCACACGCUCAGAUUUCCUCAGCAUGCGCCUGCUGCCCUGCAUGUGA
rnacentral:lncRNA from 1 species